GAAAGGAAGAUUAAUACAAGAUGGCAUCAUGAGUCCGCAUGUUCACAUGAUUAAAGGUAUUCCGGUAGACGAUGGGGAUGCGUUCCAUUAGAUAGUAGGCGGGGUAACGGCCCACCUAGUCUUCGAUGGAUAGGGGUUCUGAGAGGAAGGUCCCCCACAUUGGAACUGAGACACGGUCCAAACUCCUACGGGGGGCAGCAGUGAGGAAUAUUGGUCAAUGGGCGAGAGCCUGAACCAGCCAAGUAGCGUGAAGGAUGACUGCCCUAUGGGUUGUAAACUUCUUUUAUAAAGGAAUAAAGUCGGGUAUGGAUACCCGUUUGCAUGUACUUUAUGAAUAAGGAUCGGCUAACUCCGUGCCAGCAGCCGCGGUAAUACGGAGGAUCCGAGCGUUAUCCGGAUUUAUUGGGUUUAAAGGGAGCGUAGAUGGAUGUUUAAGUCAGUUGUGAAAGUUUGCGGCUCAACCGUAAAAUUGCAGUUGAUACUGGAUAUCUUGAGUGCAGUUGAGGCAGGCGGAAUUCGUGGUGUAGCGGUGAAAUGCUUAGAUAUCACGAAGAACUCCGAUUGCGAAGGCAGCCUGCUAAGCUGCAACUGACAUUGAGGCUCGAAAGUGUGGGUAUCAAACAGGAUUAGAUACCCUGGUAGUCCACACGGUAAACGAUGGAUACUCGCUGUUUGCGAUAUACUGCAAGCGGC
rnacentral:rRNA from 1 species